rnacentral:siRNA from 1 species
UAUUAUAGCGCGUGGUUCACACA